CUGAAACUGAAUAAAAAGGCAACUCCCCGAGGCACUGCUUGAUGGUAGCAAUGCCAGUCUCAACUUCAGAAAGAGACAGGCAAUACUCUCCAAUAAUCCAAAGAGCACAAGAGCAGACCCUUGCCGCUCUGAUUUGGUAGAAAGUGUCCAACAGCCUAGUUAUUAUGGAAACCCUUAGUUUAGGAUUGGUUUCUAUUAUCUCACGAACAAAAACAACCACAUCAAUAGCUGAAGCAACAUUGCUAUCUCCAAGGAAAUCCAUCAACAGAUGAACCACUGUGCUUGCAACUUCUGGGAACUUAAUAGCACAAGAAUGAAUAGCUUGAAUAAGCAUUUGUCUGUACUCUCCAUUCUUCUCAAGCUCUCCGCUCUGAGUCUUAACUACUUCCUUCUUCAACAUAAGAACAACCUCAUU
rnacentral:misc_RNA from 1 species